rnacentral:rRNA from 1 species
UCAGGCGGGGAGAGACCAACAGGGAUUGCCUCAGUAACGGCGAGUGAAGCGGCAACAGCUCAAAUUUGAAAUCUGGCCCUCGGGUCCGAGUUGUAAUUUGUAGAGGAUGCUUUUGGCGCGGUGCCUUCCGAGUUCCCUGGAACGGGACGCCUUAGAGGGUGAGAGCCCCGUACGGUUGGACACCAAGCCUCUGUAAAGCUCCUUCGACGAGUCGAGUAGUUUGGGAAUGCUGCUCUAAAUGGGAGGUAAAUUUCUUCUAAAGCUAAAUAUUGGCCAGAGACCGAUAGCGCACAAGUAGAGUGAUCGAAAGAUGAAAAGCACUUUGAAAAGAGGGUUAAAUAGCACGUGAAAUUGUUGAAAGGGAAGCGUUUGCGACCAGACCUUUUCCUGGCGGAUCAUCCGGUGUUCUCACCGGUGCACUUCGCCAGGUCGAGGCCAGCAUCGGUUUCCGCGGGGGGAUAAAAGCUCUGGGAACGUAGCUCCUCCGGGAGUGUUAUAGCCCUCUGCACAAUACCCCCGCGGGGACCGAGGACCGCGCUCUAAGCAAGGAUGCUGGCGUAAUGGUUGUCAACGACCCGUCUUGAAACACGGACCAAGGAGUCGAACAUUUGUGCGAGUGUUUGGGUGUCAAACCCUCACGCGUAAUGAAGGUGAACGUAGGUGAGAGCCCUUACGGGUGCAUCAUCGACCGAUCCUGAUGUCUUCGGAUGGAUUUGAGUAAGAGCAUAACUGUUCGGACCCGAAAGAUGGUGAACUAUGCGUGGAUAGGGUGAAGCCAGAGGAAACUCUGGUGGAGGCUCGCAGCGGUUCUGACGUGCAAAUCGAUCGUCAAAUCUGCGCAUGGGGGCGAAAGACUUAUCGAACCAUCUAGUAGCUGGUUACCGCCGAAGUUUCCCUCAGAUAGCAGUGUUGUUCUUCAGUUUUAUGAGUAAAGCGAAUGAUUAGGGACUCGGGGGCGCUUUUUUGCCUUCAUCCAUUCUCAAACUUUAAAUAUGUAAGAAGCCCUUGUUACUUAAUUGAACGUGGGCAUUC